AAUCAACGCUGGCGGCGUGCCUCAGACAUGCAAGUCGAACGAGAAAGUUUCCUUCGGGAGACGAGUACAGUGGCGUCCGGGUGAGUAACACGUGGGUAAUUUACCUUUGGGUGGGGAAUAGCAGCCGGAAACGGCUAUUAAUACCGCAUAAUGCAGCGGCUCGACAUCGAGACAGUUGUUAAAGCGGGGAUCUGACAAGGACCUCGCGCCUAAAGAGAAGCCUGCGUCAGAUUAGCUAGUUGGUAGGGUAAUGGCCUACCAAGGCUGUGAUCUGUAGCCGGCCUGAGAGGGCGGUCGGCCACACUGACACUGACACACGGGUCAGACUCCUACGGGAGGCAGCAGUCGGGAAUUUUGGGCAAUGGGCGCAAGCCUGACCCAGCAACGCCGCGUGAAGGAU
rnacentral:rRNA from 1 species